GUGGGGAAUUUUGGACAAUGGGCGCAAGCCUGAUCCAGCAAUGCCGCGUGUGUGAAGAAGGCCUUCGGGUUGUAAAGCACUUUUGGCAGGAAAGAAAUAGCGCGUGCUAAUACCAUGCGCGAAUGACGGUACCUGCAGAAUAAGCACCGGCUAACUACGUGCCAGCAGCCGCGGUAAGACGUAGGGUGCAAGCGUUAAUCGGAAUUACUGGGCGUAAAGCGUGCGCAGGCGGUUUUGUAAGACAGGUGUGAAAUCCCCGGGCUCAACCUGGGAACUGCACUUGUGACUGCAAGGCUAGAGUGUGUCAGAGGGAGGUGGAAUUCCGCGUGUAGCAGUGAAAUGCGUAGAGAUGCGGAGGAACACCGAUGGCGAAGGCAGCCUCCUGGGAUAACACUGACGCUCAGGCACGAAAGCGUGGGGAGCAAACAGGAUUAGAUACACGGGUAGUCC
rnacentral:rRNA from 1 species